ACGUAGGUGGCAAGCGUUGUCCGGAUUUACUGGGCGUAAAGAGCGCGCAGGCGGUCAUUCAAGUCGAGUGUGAAAGCCCCCGGCUCAACUGGGGAGGGUCACUCGAUACUGUCUGACUCGAAGGCGGGAGAGGGAAGUGGAAUUCCCGGUGUAGUGGUGAAAUGCGUAGAUAUCGGGAGGAACACCAGUGGCGAAGGCGACUUACUGGCCCGGUACUGACGCUGAGGCACGAAAGCGUGGGGAGCAAACAGGA
rnacentral:rRNA from 1 species